rnacentral:rRNA from 1 species
GGUAGCAUAAUCAAUUGGCUUCUAAUUAAAGUCUGGUAUGAAUGAACGUAUGGGUAAUGACUGUCUAAGGAAUGUUAAUUCAAAAUUAUCAAGUUGGUGCAAAUGCCAACAGGCUUAAAAAAGACGAGAAGACCCUAGAAACUUAUAGUUGAUUUUGCUGGGGCGGCAGAAUUGCAUAUAACCAAUUUUAAUUUACGUGAAGCGACGCAGAAAGAAAAAGUUACUCUAGGGAUAACAGCAUAAUUUUAGUAGUUUGUGACCUCGAUGUUGGACUAGGGAUGUUACCUUCUAGAAGGAGGUAAUUAUGGCUCUGUUCGAGCCCUUAGCCCCUACGUGAUCUGAGUUC